rnacentral:rRNA from 1 species
UACGUAGGGUCCGAGCGUUGUCCGGAAUUACUGGGCGUAAAGAGCUCGUAGGUGGUUUGUCGCGUUGUUCGUGAAAACUCACAGCUCAACUGUGGGCGUGCGGGCGAUACGGGCAGACUUGAGUACUGCAGGGGAGACUGGAAUUCCUGGUGUAGCGGUGGAAUGCGCAGAUAUCAGGAGGAACACCGGUGGCGAAGGCGGAUCUCUGGGCCGAUACUGACGCUGAGGAGCGAAAGCGUGGGGAGCAAACAGG